rnacentral:tRNA from 1 species
CCUGGUGGCUCAGAGGGUAAAGCAUCUGCCUGCAAUGCAGGAAGCCUGGGUUCAAUCCCUGGGUCAGGA